UGGUCCGGAAUAUAGCCCGUCCA
rnacentral:siRNA from 1 species